rnacentral:rRNA from 1 species
UACAGAGGUCUCGAGCGUUAGGCGGAAUCACUGGGCUUAAAGCGUGUGUAGGCGGAUCGUUAAGUACCUUGUGAAAUCCCACGGCUUAACCGUGGAACUGCUUGGUAUACUGGCGGUCUUGAGCCAGCUAGGGGCUACCGGAACAAAUGGUGGAGCGGUGAAAUGCGUAGAUAUCAUUUGGAACGCUAAUGGUGAAAACAGGUAGCUGGGGCUGUGCUGACGCUGAGACGCGAAAGCCAGGGGAGCAAACGGG